rnacentral:rRNA from 1 species
GCGCGAAAACUUUACAAUGCGGGAAACCGUGAUAAGGGGACACCGAGUGCCAGCAUCAUAUGCUGGCUGUCCGGGUGUGUAAAAUACACCCGUUAGCAAGGGCCGGGCAAGACCGGUGCCAGCCGCCGCGGUAACACCGGCGGCCCGAGUGGUGAUCGUGAUUAUUGGGUCUAAAGGGUCCGUAGCCGGUUUGGUCAGUCCUCCGGGAAAUCUGACGGCUCAACCGUUAGGCUUUCGGGGGAUACUGCCAGGCUUGGGACCGGGAGAGGUAAGAGGUACUACAGGGGUAGGAGUGAAAUCUUGUAAUCCCUGUGAGACCACCUGUGGCGAAGGCGUCUUACCAGAACGGGUUCGACGGUGAGGGACGAAAGCUGGGGGCACGAACCGGAUUAGAUACCCGGGUAGUCCCAGCCGUAAACGAUGCUCGCUAGGUGUCAGGCAUGGCGCGACCGUGUCUGGUGCCGCAGGGAAGCCGUGAAGCGAGCCACCUGGGAAGUACGGCCGCAAGGCUGAAACUUAAAGGAAUUGGCGGGAAAGCAC